rnacentral:lncRNA from 1 species
GAAGUGGUUCUACUUGUGGCUGGGUGCAGGUCAGCCUGGAGCCUAGCAGGCAGGCAGGAGACCCUGGGGUUAUUGGCCAGAACCACACAGCCUUUUUAUCACACAAAACAAUCUCCUUCCAGAGCUCCUGAGACUCCUAGGGCCAAGCCCUGAGCUGCCUAGGACAGACACGGAGUUGAGUCACACAGUGACCCAGAAUCUCAGCCUCAUCAGAGCAGAGCGAUGUUUCAGGCAAGCAGGUUAGCUGAUGGUCAACUCCAGAAUGCUCCACUAAAAGAAAGGGUGAAGAGCCUUUCCCAGCCCUCUUGUGCUGUGAACAACAGACCACAUGGCAACAGACAGAGAACAGAACCGGAAUGCUCUCCAAAACAGAGUUUGGAGAUGUCCAGCGAUCUUAGAAUGGUCCGGUCCUGAUGACACCCCUGAGUUACUUAUCAGUACCCUGACACUUCAGAUGGUGGAAGCAAGCAGAACCCUGCAGGUGUGCCAAGGUCUCACCCUUGUCACCAACAGCUUUUAGAAAGAACAGUCAGAACUGUCUGGGGACACUGCCCAGUGACAUAGCCGCCCUCCUCAGCUCCUUGUCCGCAUGUAUGAGUGCAACGGUGGUGGCUGUGCCUACCUGCCUGGCCCUGUCCGCCUUCAGGGCCUCCAUGCCGCUCUGUAGCUGUUCUUUCUCUCGGAUCAGCUCCUCACUCAGCAUCUCCAGGUCUUGGUUACUCUGCUUUUCUCUCUCCAGCUGCGUCUGUAACUUUUCAAUCUGCAGAUGUAAAGAUACAGCCUGUGACAGACAGUCAGCCUAACAGGAUGAGGUGUGUUUAGACAGAUACACAGACAGACAGACCCUUCUCUGCCCAGGUUAUUAAUAAUACAGGUCCGUGAGGGGACAAAAAAGGUCCCAGUGUCGCUCUGCAGCAAAGUAUACCUUCCCUCAGUCACUGGCCUGACAUGACCUGCACUUUCUGUCUGGGCUAAGAGAAGUCACUGGGCAGCAGAGUGCUGUAUGUCCGUCCAAUCUACUCCAUGUCUUGCUUUUUUCCCCUUGACCUCCUCCACUUCUGCUCAGGGUCAGACCGCAUACCCAAAGCACAUUCCCGACAAGGACUGUACGGCUCCCUUCCCCUUCCUUAUGCUUGGUGACACUGUGCAGCUGCUCAGGUCCUGUCACCCUCCAGGUAAACCCAUCAUCGAGUCUUGUCCCUUCUGCCCACUCUGCUCCCUCCUUCCAUCCACUGCGCUGCCCUAGGCCAGAAUAUAUUGUUCUAUCUGGACAAUUUCCCUCCCGUCACCACCUACCAACACCAGGCUCUGAUGGGGGAACCCACCAGUACCCAAGCUUCCUAGGACAUGAGCUCCCUACGUAAGAGUUCUCCUUAUCUUCGUUUGUAUACAGAGAAUAGGCUACAGGGCAGAGGUGACCCACACUGUGCUUAGCCCAGCAAGAAGAUACCCCAGGCUUUCCUGCCUGAGAACCCAUGGAGUGGUAGAGCCUUUUCUUCAAUGUCAGCUCUUUUUUUAUAUUAUACAAGAUUAGGCGCCCAUUUAUAAAGAUAUUCUCUGCCUUAAGACCACAGAAAUCUAAGAGACCAAAUCAUGUGGUUACUUUUCCCAUUUUUGCUUUGCUUCAAAAAACAAGGCAUGAGAUAGGAGUGUCUCCUAUUCCUCUAAAGGCAGAACAAUCCUGGAACAGUGAAAAUGUCACACAACACUGAGUAUUUAAAGGGGGGGUAAGUGGUGAGAAGGUAAAUGCAGCUAGAUGGUUCCCUGAGAUCCUUUCCACAGCAGGAAAUGUGCGCCACGCCCCACGAAGAGGAGAGAAAGCAGCAGAGGUGGGGUCCCUGGGAACUGGUUUCUUCCCGGCUUGUCCUCCACCCACCACUGCCUCCUCAGAGUGUGGCGGUAGAUAUGUCAAGGGCCCUGGAAGGUCACCUUCUUGCUAAGCUGCUGGUUCUCCUUCUCCAGCUCCCCACACUUGAGGCUGCUCUCCUCCAGCGCCAGUGACGUGUCCCGCAGACCCUGAAUGGUGCUCUGUAGGCUCUGGUUCUCCUUCUCCAGCUUCAGGAUGCGGCUGGAGGCGCACUCGUUCAGCUCAAACACGAAGGAUUUCCUGGAGGCUGGAGGGCCGAGUCCGUUAAGACCUAGCAUUUUGGGAACCCUGCUUCUACCUUCUGACAUAAGGUGAACCUAGGCUUCCCCUCUUGUUCUCCAUUCUCAUCCCAAUAUGACUGCUUCUUCACCACCCAACAGUGAGGUCCCCUGCUGGCAGAAUUGGGGCCCACUCAAUCUAGAACUUAAGGAGAACUCAGAUGACCUUGUGGGACCUGGGUCACCUCACUGCUCACCUGACUGGCUCAAGGGCCACAGACAUUUUCUGUGCUCACUAUGGGAGCAGUGGGCAUUACGCUGCUCAGCAGAGAGGGCAAAGUGAUCAGCUGACUGAGGGGGAAGGGAAGCUGGGCCCGUGAAUAUCUGCCCAUUGUUGGACAGCCUGUGCUAAAAUCUUGACAUUAGAGAUUUCUUCCAACUUUACAAUUAUGUUGAAGGAAAAGUCAAACCAUACAUGCAAGCUGCUUUAGACUUCUCAGUGAGACUAGAGAAAAGCUCAAUGUUUUAAAAGUCAUCUACUCUGCUUUUAAGCAACCCAGCACCUUCUUGGGGGUCAAGAACUAGACUUUUCCUUCUACCGAGCAGAUGCAAGGCUUCAGGUAAGUCACAGAGCUUCUCAGGAGGAACAAGGUAGGCCUGACACACCCUAAGGAAACAGUCAGGGCUGUUCCUCAGUCCCCAGUCUGCCCACCCAUCAGAGCCUUAUUACACUGUACAGUGGAGGCUUAUGCUAUGGCUCUGUAUUGUAAUGCUAAGUACUGCCCCCCUCCCCUUCCCCCAGAUCUGACUGCCUCAGGGACAAGGAAAUCCUCACAUAACCAAGUGGGGCUAUGUGACCGUGCUCCUUAAACUAUUGGUUAAAUAAGGAUGCCUGUAGCCUAUGGCCUAUAGGGGGCAGAAGAGAGGUAGGUAGAGCUUUGGUUACCAGACUUGGGGUCUGAGGCGAAGACCAUGAGAAGGAAAGAAGAGGAGAGCCGAGAAUAAAAAGAGAGAAGAUGCCAUAGGUAAGGGGCUGUGAGAACUGGCCAUGAGGGCUGGCCAGCCAGAGUACGAGCAGCCCAGAUGGAACAUGGCAAGUUUUAUCUCAGGGUUAUUGACAGGGAAGUAGACAAAAUAGCAUAGAGGGUAGAUAUCUGCCCCUCUCUAGUGUUGUUAAGGCUUCUU